UGCAUUUGCAACCUGAGCUCAGACGUGAUUACCCGCUGAACUUAAGCAUAUCAUUUAGCGGAGGAAAAGAAACUAACUAGGAUUCCCUUAGUAACGGCCAAGUGAAAA
rnacentral:rRNA from 2 species